ACGGCUCAGUAACACGUGGAUAACCUGCCCUCAGGUCCGGCAUAACCUCGGGAAACUGAGGAUAAUUCCGGAUAUCCCUUUUCUGCUGGAAGGCUUAAAGGGACAAAGAAUUUCGCCUGAGGAUGGGUCUGCGGCCUAUCAGGUUGUAGGGGGUGUAACGUACCCUCUAGCCGACAACGGGUACGGGUUGUGAGAGCAAGAGCCCGGAGAUGGAUUCUGAGACAUGAAUCCAGGCCCUACGGGGCGCAGCAGGCGCGAAAACUUUACAAUGCAGGAAACUGUGAUAAGGGAACACCGAGUGCUCGCAUCAAAUGCGGGCUGUCCACAUACCUAAAUCGUAUGUGUUAGCAAGGGCCGGGCAAGACCGGUGCCAGCCGCCGCGGUAAUACCGGUGGCCCGAGUGGUAGCCGCUUUUAUUGGGUCUAAAGGGUCCGUAGCCUGUCUGAUCAGUCCAUUGGGAAAUCCGGAUGCUCAACAUCCGGCUGCCAGUGGAUACUGUCAGAC
rnacentral:rRNA from 1 species